rnacentral:rRNA from 1 species
UGGGGAAUAUUGCACAAUGGGCGCAAGCCUGAUGCAGCAACGCCGCGUGAGGGACGACGGCCUUCGGGUUGUAAACCUCUUUUGGCAGGGAAGAAGCGAAAGUGACGGUACCUGCAGAAAAAGCACCGGCUAACUACGUGCCAGCAGCCGCGGUGAUACGUAGGGUGCAAGCGUUGUCCGGAAUUAUUGGGCGUAAAGAGCUCGUAGGCGGUUUGUCGCGUCUGCUGUGAAAACCCGAGGCUCAACCUCGGGCCUGCAGUGGGUACGGGCAAACUAGAGUGCGGUAGGGGAGAUUGGAAUUCCUGGUGUAGCGGUGGAAUGCGCAGAUAUCAGGAGGAACACCGAUGGCGAGGGCAGAUCUCUGGGCCGUAACUGACGCUGAGGAGCGAAAGCAUGGGGAGCGAACA